UGUGUAAACUGGAAUCCAAAGAAAAAAGGAGAGAGAGAUUGGGAUGAAAAUAAUAUUUCAGAAAUAUUAACAGCUGAGAGUGCUCUAAAACUAAAAAGAAUAUAUGGAUCCAUAAAUUCAAUAAGCACUAAAAACAUGCAACAAGAACAAAUACAAAGAAAACCACACGUAAGAUCACCACAGUACAAUUCAUGAAUAGCAAAGAAAACAUGACAUCUUAAAAGCAGCCCAAGGAAAAAGAGGUAGAUUACUUUGAAAGGAACAAUAGGAUUAAGAUUACAGCUUACUUCUGAGCAAAACUGACUGGAUACUAAUAAAUAAUGGAAUAACAUUUUUAAGUGCUAAAGAAAAGAACUGCCCAUUGGGAAUUCUAGAGGCAGAGAAAAUGUUGUUUGGAAGGAAAGAUGAAAUAAGGAAAUUUGCAGACACAAUUUAGAAAAUAUUUUCUCAUCAGAACUGAAUUAAAUUAUAAAGGGAGACCAGCUGGCAGAAGGAAGAUUAUCACAGAUGAAAAUAAGGACUUUAUAAAGAAUUAUGUAUAACAGAAAGGAUAAAUAAGUGGAUAAACCUAAAUAAAAUCUAACAACACAAAAGGGUAAUAAUAAAAUAUAUCAAAAAUGAGAAUGCAUUAAAACAAAUGGAAGGGGAAAAAGUAGUAAAAGAAAUUUAAAAUCUCAGCAUUGCUUGAGAAGCAGUAAAAGACCUAAUAAGUCAUGGUACAUGUGUAACUGCUACUUAUGUAAAAAUAACAAGCUAAUACAAGGGAAAAUGGAAUUUGAAGAAAUCUCAAAGGAAGAAAGAAGAGCAAAAGGAACAUAACAAGGUGGGACAAAUAGUAAACAAGGAGUAAACGGUCUAUAAGAAAAUACAUUAACUGUAAAUACUCAAAUUAAAGGACAAGGAUUAUUGAAACAAACAAAAAACCUAAUUCUAUGCCACUUACAAGAGACAAGAGUCAGAUUGAAAAUGAAAGGAUUCAAAAAUUAUGUCAUAACAACAAUAAGUAAAAUUGAAGAUUUUUUAAGGUUAACAUAGAUUUGAAAGCAAAAAGUAUCACUGUUGAUAAGGCAGGAUAAUAAAAUCCACUGUUACUUUACAAGGAAUACAUUAUAAAUCUAAACUUCAAUGCAAUAUAUGAAGGGAAAUUCCAAAAAACUAAGUAGAAAUAGAAACAUCUAAAUUACCUAGAUCAGUAACAUAGAACCACAACAAUAAAUCAGCAGAUUAGAGAAGAUCUGAAUACCAUCAUUAAAAACUUUGGCCUAAAUUUACAUAAAACACUGCACCAACAAUGAUGGAAUAUAUAUAUUACGCAGAAAUUUUUAGGUGCACGUGGCACAUUUAUAAAAUUGACUAUAUUCUGGUUAUAAAACAAGACUUCGAAUAAGCAAGAAAUGUAAAACUAUAUAACCAAUAUUUUACCAAAUACUUGGAUAUUAAAAACAUACUUCUGCUCAUUAUGUAGGUCAAAGAUAAAGUUGUAAUGGGAAUUAGAAUUUUAUUAAUUGAAUGAUAAUGAAAAUAUGCCAUAACAAAACCUGUGGGUUGCAAAUAAAGCUGUGGUCACAGAGAAGUUUAUGUAUUCAAAUUAUACUCUCUAAAUGUAAAACGGAAAGGAAUAAAGCAAGUUGAAGAGAACUUAUCACCCUGAGGUAGGCAACUCCUGAACUGUACCUGGUGGGGAAGGCAGGGCAGAACUUCAGGAGGCCAGCUGAGAGCACGGUGAACACCUUGUCAGGAGCAGUCUCCAAGAAAGAGAAUUUAAUGUACAAAGGGAUGACUAAAAUAUAUUUAAGAGCUAGCACCCUGACCCCUCUUAAGAAUGACUUAUGUUGCUGGGGAAAAAAUAAGAAGUGCUCGAUGUAGAAGGUGAAUAGCUUUAUAAUUCCCAGGAGAAUCUUGGUACCAGGACCACACAAUAAAGAACUUGGAGUCCCCAUGGCUAAUCCAGCAGAGAGAAAAGGAGAAACACAGAUGCGAGAGAAAAUAAAGGGAACUCUUGGUGCAAUUUGGUGCUGCUGCAGGCCCAAGUCCAGCUCGAGAGAGGCUAUAUUCAUCUGUGGUAAUUACUGCUGUGUUUCCUGAACAUGCCUAUAAAACAUACUGAAGAAGGGUGCCUGAAAUUUGGUAAGGGAUCCAUCAAUUUUCUUGGCUGAAUGGAGAAAUAUGUUCAUAAAUUAAUGAACAAAUCUCUGGGGUUUCUGAAUUAAGGACUAAUGGGAAGAGGAAGGCAAAUGGUUGGGACAGGGUACUGCAAGAAGUAGUAUUUGGAGUACUCUGAUAGCUAUCCUAAUAGAUAACAUUUUGUUCAUUAAAAUAGUUUUAAUGAGAGAGCUGGGAACUAGGGACACACAGCAUCAAGGUUUUAUAAUGCAUUCCGCAGAGUUCUUUUUAAGUGUGUUCAAAUAUCAUUGAAAAUAUAUGCAUGCAUAUAAACCUCUGUUACUUUAUUUAGUGCUUUACAAGAGCCCCUCAAGGAUGGGGUAGUAGAAACUAUCAGUAUCCUUCCUUUAUGAUGAGCUUAAUUUACUCAAAAUUACAUCAAAAUUUAUUAGUAAGUGUGAAACUAGACUUAGUUAUUUAGUAGACCCUCCCUAGAAACCUAUGACUUUAAUAAAACCAACAAAAAUGUGUUCAGUUUCCAAUGAUACACACACUACAGACUCAAUUAUGUGUCAUCCAUUUUAAUGAAGGGAAGAAGUGAUUUAACAAACACAGAGCAAACAGAAUAUGAAGUUUUGUCCUCCAUUAAUAUUAGUAACGGAUAAAGUGGGCUCCAAUGCCUUCAAGAUAGCUUGAGACCAUCAUCUCUGUGUCAUGGGCAGGGGGAUGCUCGGCCAGGAUGUCUUUCUCUGUCACUGAGAAAAAUGUCCAUAAUAUAUAAUGAUACCUACUGAAACUGAUAUGGGGCAUUUGGGUAAUAAGGAAUCCAUUAGCAUAUUUUUCCGGAAGCCUUGACUACAAAAUGAAGACAGUAGAUUUGGACACUUUCAGCCAUGAAGAAGUUGUUUGGAUAUUCAUCUUUAUGCCUAAUGAAGUAAGCUUAUUUCAUCUCUGCAGCUUCCCAUAUACCAUUUUCCCACCUCUGUUUUAUGUUUGGAAAGACUUUUAGAAAUUGAAAGUCAAGUUAAAAAGUGAGUGACGGGCUUCCCUGGUGGCUCAGUGGUUGAGAGUCCGCCUGCCGAUGCAAGGGACACGGGUUCGUGCCCCGGUCCGGGAAGAUCCCACAUGCCGCGGAGCGGCUAGGCCCGUGAGCCAUGGCCACUGAGCCUGCGCGUGCAGAGCCUGUACUCCGCAACGGGAGAGGCCACAGCAGUGAGAGGCCCGUGUACCACAAAAAAAAAAAGAAAAAGAAAAACAAGUGAGGUGACCUACUUGACUGGCAAAGUUGGGAAGAAUAACUGGCCAUGCUUUGCUAAGCUCUUCUUUCCUUCAUCUUGGGAGUGAGUCUGGUGAUAGAGAGACAAAAGUUCUCUGCUCCAUUGUGGACAUGCCCCUUUCACAUGGGUUUGCCUGGAACCAACUUGCUGCAACAAAGUGGGUAAGUCUGGAUAAUUCUAGAAUUCACUUGACAGACUCACUUGGCUGUCUCAUGAAACCCCAUUUUCCAACAUGGGCUCUAAAAGUAAAAAGUGACAUAAUGUGUGGGCUCCAGUGCAAAAUGAAAAUAUAGUGCCUCUUGUUCAAACUGCAAAGAAAAAGUGUUGUUGAAAGUAUUUGCACUGGGGUGCAUAGUAUCCUCCCCAAAUUCACGUUCACCUGGAACCUGUGAAUGUGCCCAAGUAAAUUCUUUUUUCAGAUAGAAUCGAGAUAAGAUGACAUCAUACUAGAUUAGGGUGAGCCCUAAAUGGGUUCUAUGGGUUGUUCUCUCUUCUCUUUUUCAUAUAUGUCAUCUUUUUCAGCAGAAGUGUUUGGCUAAUAUUGGGAAGUAACACGAGUAAGAAAGGAUAUGAUAAGAUUCCUUGGACAUUCUUGUUUUUUAGAAAACAACUGCUUUCUUUCUGAACUUACUUCAAGCUGGAAGUAAGUUCAGAUUCAAAUGGAAAGCAUGGCCUCCUGGAGCUGUUAACACCUUCAUUUAGUCUUGGAUGUGAGCAGUAGCAAGAAUUCUGGUGGAACUCAGUAAAACUCCAAAUGGGUACCAAAUAAGCGUGUCAUGGAAAGCACACCAUAAGCAGGGUGAAAACUAGUUGUGAAUGGGGCCGCAGGAAUGGUGGCAGACACACAUAUUGCACAUGUCUUCUCUGCUCAUGCGUAUAUUUUAUUGUCCUAUAAAUUUUACUUACAGAACGUAAGUUCAAAGAUAGAAUCAUUAAGAAUUUCAAGACAGCAAUAGCACAGCAUGAAACCAAGCAAGCGUGGGGCCCUUCUGAGCAUGGUUCAUGCGGGACUUGAUUGACUGGUAAAAGAGCCAAGGCUCUGGGAUACCCACACCAUGUCAGUGACAGAAGUCCAAGCUACAGAUAUUGAAGCAGCCCUCACUGCCACUCAGGCACAGAAAGGCCUGUCACUGAGAAUUAACCAAAAUGUAAAUUUAGGAGGAUAAUUUAUGGACUUUUAGGACUUUGGAUUUAUAACCCACAAUAACAAGAAAACUUCAUUUCAAAAGAGAGUGUGAGGUCUUCAUGUUUGCUUUGGUUGUUGAGGGUCCUUUGUGGUUACAUAUCAAUUUUGGAGUCGUUUCUUCUAUUUCUGCAAAAAUAGGGGAUUUUGAUAGGCAUUGCAUUAAAUCUGUAGAUAGCUUUGUAUAAUAUGGACAUUUUAACAAUAGUUCAUGAACAUAGGAUGUCUUUCCAUUUAUUUAUGUCUUCCUUAAUUUCUUUCAAUAACGCUGUAGUUUUGUUUUGUUUCUGUGGUACACGGGCCUCUCACUGUUGUGGCCUCUCCCGUUGUGGAGCACAGACUCCAUACGCGCAGACUCAGUGACCAUGGCUCACGGGCCCAGCCGCUCCGCAGCAUGUGGGAUCUUCCUGGACCAGGGCACAAACCUGCGUCCCCUGCAUCGGCAGGCUGACUCUCAACAACUGCACCACCAGGGAAGCCCCCCAUUCAUUGUUUUUAAUUGCAAACAGAUAAUAAGCAAAGUGAAAGGAACUUCUUCCACCAAAGUAAAGGCCAAAGUUCAAAAAGUCAAAUUAAUAUGGGGUUUGUUACUAUUCUAAAUAGUAAGGAACAAUGGCAAGAAAUGUCACAGUGUUGGUUGCUAUUAACAUCUUUUCAUUUUCCAUUACAGUUGUUUAUAUUAUCUUCAUGGGAUAUCACUGAAGUUAUCAAGUUAUCUUAAUAAUCAAAUUAAAAAACAAAAUCCCUUGAAAUGCCAAUACAAAGAAAAAUGAGUCAGAACAUGAAAAAAUGUUUUAGACAAGUUGACAGCAUGUAUUCUUUGUUCAUAUCUCUUUUUGAGAGAAGUUCCAUCUUAUUCACACCCACAUGUACAAUAGACUGAAUAAAAUACAACCCCAUCACUCAAUGGUGAUAAAAAAAGGAAAGUCAAGCUGGUUCCAGAAAAUUCCUCUAUUUAUUCCUAGUAUCUGGUUGCAUCUGGCAAAAAAGAGCAUUUUGAAAUAUUCUCUAAAUUUUUGUAUUUUAUUUUAUAAUAAUUUGCUUAUUUAUCUCAAUUUAAAUAUUUAAAACACAUGAGAAAUAUUUUAACGUUUGGCAUUUGA